GCGUCAGUAGUGUAAGGGUAUCAUAACGAUUUCCCAUGUCGUUGACCCGGGUUCGAGUCCCGGCUGAUGCA
rnacentral:tRNA from 1 species